AAGCUAUAAUGUGGGCACUUCCUCAAUAGGUCUUUAAAUCUCUCCCAAACUUCAUACAAACUCUCUUGAUCAAGGUGAGCAAAAUUCGUUAUCUCUUUGCGAAGCUU
rnacentral:snoRNA from 1 species